CAUUCUCGUGCAUCUUCUGUCGCUCUGGUGGUUCUCUCUGGGAGGGACUCAGACAGUCCCAGGAGACCUGGAAAUGGAUUUCUAAUGUUUCCCUACAUUCUCUGGCUCUGCUGUGAUCGUGAUAUGAGUGACACUGUAACCACAGAAAUGAAGUGUAAAUGGUUUCGUUUCUUCAUGCUCCUGUCAAAUUAUUGAGGAAAUGUGGAGAGACUCUUUGGCCUUUGAGGAUGUGGCUAUAAACUUCACCCUGGAUGAGUGGGUUUUACUGGAUUCCUCACAGAGGAAACUCUACAGAGAUGUGAUGCGGGAAAACUUCAGAAAUGUAGUCUCAGUAGAAGCAAAACAGGAAGAUCAUGACAUUGAAGAUCAGGACAAAAACCAGGAGAGAAAAUUACGGUGAGCCACAUGUACAGUACAAAGCAUGUCUCAUGUGAGAAUCUUAUGAAAACCUAAAAGGAAGC